AUUUGGAAAGUAAGCCCACCUGGAUAGGCAAAGCCUGAAGAUCAUACACAUAUAAACCUGUCUUGGAAAAGUAGCGCUAAUCCUCCUGGUCAUCACAAAGCCUACAAGAAAUUCUAUUCUUAAUAGGUCUCGUGAAGCUAACUUAAUAUCUUAGGGAAAAUACUUAACAUUCUAUAAUUCGUCACGCCGGGUUUCAAAAUUUAAUGAAUAAAUACUUGAAAACUAAAUUUCUUGAGUUAAGGACACCAACAAUAUCCUUACUCGAUUUUCUUUUAGUGUUUUAGGGUUCUAGCAUCCAUAAUUCGUUCCAUUAAAGACAAUCGAAAACCAACAUAACCUCGUGACUAACCACAUAAUAUCACGUAAUCACGUAAACAAUAAACAGAAAGAAAUAAAAUCCUCAAGUUUAGUAUCAUUAAAAUCACAAGUUCACAUGAACAUAAAAGAAAUCAUGCACCAUUUUUAUAACAUUCUAUACAUUUCAUUUUUUUUUUCAUGUAAAUAAAUAAGAAAUUCCAUUAUUCAUUUAUAAAUAAUAAAACAUUUUAAAAUCCAUUGAGAUGAAAUAAAACAUUUUAACCAUUUAAAAUCCAUACUCAAAAAGCCUUGAAAUAUUAUAAAAAUGAGGGUUUAAUCCCAAAAUUUGUUUUCAUUUUUAAAGUCCAUCAAUAAAUUAAAUAAAAGAACGGACCUCAUUUAAAAUAAAUAGUCCCAACCUUAAAUAUUAAAAUUUAAAUCAAGAGAUUUAAAUUCACUAAAAUAAUUUAGUGAAAAUUCAAACACAUAGGCAACACAAUCACAUAAGGCACAUAAGAAUCACAAUCAAACAUCAUUAAAAUAUGCUCUGUUUUUACACUGACUCAACUUCAAAAUUUAAACUGUUCUGACUCCGACAUCUCCUGGACUCGAGACUCAUACUGAAAGAAAUAUCUUCGAGUCUAGUUUCAUUUAAAAAAAAUAGAGUCGAAAGCUCCAAGUGGUUUGAGAGAUAUGACGUUUUUACCACGAUCUACCAUUUCUGGCAGUUUUGUGCAACCGAAGGUUACAAUUUUUGAAAAAUAGUAAACGUUGUCAAACUGGGCUCAACUUUGGUGGAUAUCUAGAUAACACAAUAAGGUUGAUACCAUAAAAAGUUGGAAAGCUAGAUCACAUAGGAAGCUACUUAAAUGAAUGACUCGUUCCCCUGUUCUCUGAAAUUCUCGGUAAUAAUGUGCAGUUUAGGUUUUGCAUUUUAAAGAAAUAUCAAACGAAGUUGAAAUAGCUUGAAAUUUUACCAGGGUACUCAAGACUCAUGUAGAAACUUGCUAUAAAAUUUUCAAAGCUAUUAGACAUCGACAAACCAUCGAUCACAGUAGGUCAGUAGGCCUACGAAAUUCUCCAAUUUGUAUUUAAAACUUAUAUAUCUUAAUAAUAUCUCUAACUUGAAUAUAACAUCAUAAUUCUCAACAACAACUCAUCCCAAAACUCAUUUCAUCACUUCUAAUCAUCAAUCUAAACCAUCACUUAACAUCAUAGCAUGCUCAAGAACUCAUAUACCCACUCAAAUCUUCAAAUCAACAUCAUAUAACAAAAUCACAUAUAGAAACACAUAUAUAUCAUCUUCUUCCUCAAACUAACAUUUUUCAUUUUUCACUUCUCAACCUCAAGCUUCAAUCUCAUCCAUCAUUAAUCAUCUAGAUCAUCUCAUAAACUCAAAUCCAUCAUCAUAUAACUCAAGCCAAGUCAAGAAAAUAAACAACAAAAUUCGUAGGGUUUCAAGCUCCUAAUUUUCGAAAGUUUCAUAAAAAUAAGUUGGGUGAUUUCCUUGCUCAAUCAUGAUCAUAUACUCACUCACAUAUCAUUAAUAUGAUCAAAUAAAUAAUCUAAGAUCACUUACUCAAGGAUCUAAAAGGUGAUCAAGACUUUGCUCCAACUUUGAUCUUAGCUCUAGCUUCUUGAAUUUGAUGAGAUAUGAUAGUAUUUGAUUGGAUUGGAUGGUAGAUUAUCUCAUAGUAGUGUUUGAUGAAGCUUCUCUAAGCUUUCUUCAAUGGACAUCAAUGGAGGAAAAGAGAGUAUAGAGAGAGAGAGGGGAGGCCGAGAAUUGAAGUGUGAGGGAGUGAAGUGAUGAGCUUUGUCUUGCAAUGGAUGAUUAAGGACAAAGCAUUAUUUAUGAUUAAAGCUUGGUUCCCUACCACCUUAGCACACUAAUCCUAUCUUCACUCAUCACACUUCCACUCAUGUUUAUUAGAUAAAAAAAAAUAAGUUAGUGGUAGGGAAAAGAAAAUAUUAGUGGUGGUAGGAAAAGAAAAGAUUAGUGGUGGAAGAGUAGGUGGAUAAAUUAGGUGGAGAAAUUAGGUGAUUAAAUAAAAUAAAAAAAAUCUUCCGGGUUGUACUAUGAAAACUGUAAUAAUCGUUCAGUGUUUGCUUAAAUAAAUAGCUCGUGAAAAUGCUAAAUGCUAAAUUAAAUAAAUAUGCAAUGCAUAUAAAUUUAAUAACUAAAUUUACAAAUGUUUUUGUAAAUCAUUUUUGUUGGAAUUAAAAUAAAUUCAUUUUCUUUAUAUCCGGCGUGAAUCAUCUUACUUCUAAGUUCAAAAUAAAUUCUAAAUUUAGCUAAGAAAUAGCGGGGUGUUACAUCCCUCCCUCCUUAUAAAAAUUUCGUCCUCGAAAUUGCAUAUCUGGGUAAUCUAGUUUGGAAUACUAGACUUCACUAUCAGUGCACCUACAUAGCUUGAUGCUUAUCACAUUUUCUAAUCGUGAGAAUGCUACGUCUCAUGUCUCGAGAACUGUUGACAAACGAACUCAUUCUAAUCAUACUAUGCUUAUCGUGAUCAAAGAAGAUCUUAUUGGGACAACUAUAUAGUACGAGUUUAUACAUUGGGAUGACUAAAUUGACAAUCACUGAGAUCAUAGUCAUGUGGGCUGGCCAGACCCAACAAAACGAAUCACUCAGUCAAAUGGGAGCUUCGCCCCCAAUCAUGUCAACGUCUUAUUUCAUAUAAGGCUCUAGUCAAACUUCUAACUUAAAACACUUACUAACAAGUACUUCAUCAUAAGUCACUGGUACCAUGAAAGUCCAUUCUAUGCCGUUCUAGCAAAGCUGUCACGACUAACAUUCUCAAGGCAUUCUUAGGUGGUACUCAAACGGUUUGUAAGAGGACUCAUCAUUCUAAUCAUAUAGGCAGCAACCUAAAAUGAUAACAUAAAGCUUUCUCAUUCAUUCAUUCAUACAUACAUACAUACAUACAUACAUAUUUGCUUUCUUUGAAACCUUGAGUCAUAUGGACAUUAAAUGUCCCUUUCAUGAAAAACUUUGCUUAUGCCGGAAAGAUUCAAGGAAUCUAACUCGACCAUACAUACAUUGAUUCGUUAAGGGCUCGGGUAGUCCCAAACACGAAACUAUCGUUAAGGGUUCGGGUAGUCCCAAACACGACAUAAUCAUACAUUGGUUAUAUGAGUCAAAGACCCAAAAUAACAACAUGAAGGAUAAGCAUUCACAUAACAUCAUAAAUAGAAAGCGCACAUUUUCAUGAAAACAUUCAUAACAUUGAAUACACAUAUAUAUUUUUGAAACUAUUAUCGUACCUUAGUUGCGGCAGUGUGACGGCGAGCUGAGGGCUACUGACAUUACUAGAAGUCUAGAGAUACUAUUCUAGACUCGACAUCAAAAAGCUUAUGGUUAUCAGAGACAUGAAAGAAAACUUAUGCUCUGAUACCACUCUGUCACACCCCAAUUCUUGAAUGAAUAAAUACAAUCGAGGUGCAACUAAUUCAUAGAAAUAAACAAGGAACAACCUUGUUAAAACCCGAAUAAAAUAAUAAGUCGGGCUAGUCCCCUUUGGAUCACAAGUUCUGUUUCAUGCUUCUGACAACCGACAUUCAUUAGCAUAAAUCUAGGAGUUAAGAGUCUAAACUCGAUCAGGGAUAUCAUUUAAUAUUGAACAUGAAGGUCUUAAGUUAAUAAAACAAAAGACAGUUGAAAGCUUGCAUUGCAGCGGAAGUCUUAAUAGAAUAUUGAAUCCUAGCCUCAGCUCCGUCCCGUCAACACCGACCAGCCAACCUGAAAAACAUUUGAAGGUAUUUUUGGGCUAAGUACUAAUGUACUUAGUGGGCAAGCAUUUUCAUUAAACAUUUCAUAUUUUCAUAAAGACAGUUUAUCCAAUCAUACUUGACAUGACUUAGAAGGUUUUAAAUAACUUCUAAACAUGUUAAAAUAAUUUUCAUUUGUGCGCACAUGUCACACUCCCUUUCCGUUACUCGCUGUGAUCCCGGACCUUUUAGCCACCGACUGAUCCAUUUCUUCUUCUUACUUGAACUGAGGGCGUAACCCAGUCAAGUUCCCAUUUGGGACCCAAUGCUCCGGAACACAUCCCGUCGAACACCCUUAUAACGCCUCAUACAUGAUUAGUGCCCGAAUGGAGAUCAACCCACCGAGUCAGCUAAUAGGUGUACACAAUUCUCAAAUAACGUGUUAGGUCAAGAGAGAACCUCGAUCGAUUCAUGUUGCGAGCCUUAAACGGAGCAGAGUGCACAAAAUAUUUUAUUGGAUAAACAGUUUGCAUUUAAUUGAAUAAACAAUUUGCAUUUCAUUGAAACAUUUAGAGCUUAAUAACUCAAUCAUACUUUAUACAUUUGGAAAGUAAGCCCACCUGGAUAGGCAAAGCCUGAAGAUCAUACACAUAUAAACCUGUCUUGGGAAAGCAGCGCUAAUCCCCCUGGUCACAAAGCCUACAAGAAAUUCUAUCCUUAAUAGGUCUCAUGAAACUAAUCUUAAUGUCUUAGUGGAUGUACUAAACAUACUUGAUUCAUCACGCCGGGUUUUCAAAAUUUAAUAAUAAAUAAUUGAAAACUAAAUUCUUGAGUUAAGGACACCAACAAUAUCCUUACUCGAUUUUCUUUUAGUGUUUUAGGGUUCUAGCAUCCAUAAUUCGUUCCAUUAAAGACAAUCGAAAACCAACAUAACCUCGUGACUAACCACAUAAUAUCACGUAAUCACGUAAACAAUAAACAGAAAGAAAUAAAAUCCUCAAGUUUAGUAUCAUUAAAAAUCACAAGUUCACAUGAACAUAAAAGAAAUCAUGCACCAUUUUUAUAACAUUCUAUACAUUUCUAUUUUUUUUUCAUGUAAAUAAAUAAGAAAUUCCAUUAUUCAUUUAUAAAUAAUAAAACAUUUUAAAAUCCAUUGAGAUGAAAUAAAACAUUUUAACCAUUUAAAAUCCAUACUCAAAAAGCCUUGAAAUAUUAUAAAAAUGAGGGUUUAAUCCCAAAAUUUGUUUUCAUUUUUAAAGUCCAUCAAUAAAUUAAAUAAAAGAACGGACCUCAUUUAAAAUAAAUAGUCCCAACCUUAAAUAUUAAAAUUUAAAUCAAGAGAUUUAAAUUCACUAAAAUAAUUUAGUGAAAAUUCAAACACAUAGGCAACACAAUCACAUAAGGCACAUAAGAAUCACAAUCAAACAUCAUUAAAACAUGCUCUGUUUUUACACUGGUUCAACUUUAAAAUUUAAUCUGUUCUGACUCUGACAUCUCCUGGACUCGAGACUCAUACCAAAAGAAAGAUCUUCGAGUCUAGUUUCAUAUAAAAAAAAGUAGAGGCGAAAACUCCAAGUGGUUUGAGAGAUAUGACGUUUUUACCACGAUCUACCAUUUCUGGCAGUUUUGUGCAACCGAAGGUUACAAUUUUUGAAAAAUAGUAAACGUUGUCAAACUGGGCUCAACUUUGGUGGAUAUCUAUCUAACACAAUAAGGUUGAUACCAUAAAAAGUUGGAAAGCUAGAUCACAUAGGAAGCUACUUAAAUGAAUAACUCUUUCCCCUGUUCUCUGAAAUUCUCGGUAAUAAUGUGCAGUUUAGGUUUUGCAUUUUAAAGAAAUAUCAAACGAAGUUUAAAUAGCUUGAAAUUUUACCAGGGUACUCAAGACUCAUGUAGAAACUUGCUAUAAAAUUUUCAAAGCUAUUAGACAUCGACAAACCAUCGAUCACAGUAGGUCAGUAGGCCUACGAAAUUCUCCAAUUUAUAUUUAAAACUUAUAUAUCUUAAUAAUAUCUCUAACUUGAAUAUAACAUCAUAAUUCUCAACAACAACUCAUCCCAAAACUCAUUUCAUCACUUCUAAUCAUCAAUCUAAACCAUCACUUAACAUCAUAGCAUGCUCAAGAACUCAUAUACCCACUCAAAUCUUCAAAUCAACAUCAUAUAACAAAAUCACAUAUAGAAACACAUAUAUAUCAUCUUCUUCCUCAAACUAACAUUUUUCAUUUUUCACUUCUCAACCUCAAGCUUCAAUCUCAUCCAUCAUUAAUCAUCUAGAUCAUCUCAUAAACUCAAAUCCAUCAUCAUAUAACUCAAGCCAAGUCAAGAAAAUAAACAACAAAAUUCGUAGGGUUUCAAGCUCCUAAUUUUCGAAAGUUUCAUAAAAAUAAGUUGGGUGAUUUCCUUGCUCAAUCAUGAUCAUAUACUCACUCACAUAUCAUUAAUAUGAUCAAAUAAAUAAUCUAAGAUCACUUACUCAAGGAUUUAAAAGGUGAUCAAGACUUUGCUCCAACUUUGAUCUUAGCUCUAGCUUCUUGAAUUUGAUGAGAUAUGAUAGUAUUUGAUUGGAUUGGAUGGUGGAUUAUCUCAUAGUAGUGUUUGAUGAAGCUUCUCUAAGCUUUCUUCAAUGGACAUCAAUGGAGGAAAAGAGAGUAUAGAGAGAGAGAGGGGAGGCCGAGAAUUGAAGUGUGAGGGAGUGAAGUGAUGAGCUUUGUCUUGAAAUGGAAGAAUGAUUAAGGACAAAGCAUUAUUCAUGAUUAAAGCUUGGUUCCCUACCACCUUAGCACACUAAUCC
rnacentral:lncRNA from 1 species